UCAGGCCUAACACAUGCAAGUCGAGCGGACAGAAGGGAGCUUGCUCCCGGAUGUUAGCGGCGGACGGGUGAGUAACACGUGGGUAACCUGCCUGUAAGACUGGGAUAACUCCGGGAAACCGGAGCUAAUACCGGAUAGUUCCUUGAACCGCAUGGUUCAAGGAUGAAAGACGGUUUCGGCUGUCACUUACAGAUGGACCCGCGGCGCAUUAGCUAGUUGGUGGGGUAAUGGCUCACCAAGGCGACGAUGCGUAGCCGACCUGAGAGGGUGAUCGGCCACACUGGGACUGAGACACGGCCAAGACUCCUACGGGAGGCAGCAGUAGGGAAUCUUCCGCAAUGGACGAAAGUCUGACGGAGCAACGCCGCGUGAGUGAUGAAGGUUUUCGGAUCGUAAAGCUCUGUUGUUAGGGAAGAACAAGUGCGAGAGUAACUGCUCGCACCUUGACGGUACCUAACCAGAAAGCCACGGCUAACUACGUGCCAGCAGCCGCGGUAAUACGUGGGUGGCAAGCGUUGUCCGGAAUUAUUGGGCGUAAAGGGCUCGCAGGCGGUUUCUUAAGUCUGAUGCGAAAGCCCCCGGCUCAACCGGGGAGGGUCAUUGGAAACUGGGAAACUUGAGUGCAGAAGAGGAGAGUGGAAUUCCACGUG
rnacentral:rRNA from 1 species